AUCCUGGCUUAGGACGAACGCUGGCGGCGUGCCUAAUACAUGCAAGUCGAACGGCUUUUCUAUGGAAGCUUGCUUCCACUGAGAAGAUAGUGGCGAACGGGUGAGUAACACGUGGGUAACCUGCCCAUAAGAGGGGGAUAACAUCCGGAAACGGGUGCUAAUACCGCAUAGUUUUCUUGAUCGCAUGAUCGGGAAAGGAAAGACGGCCUUUGUGCUGUCGCUUAUGGAUGGACCCGCGGCGUAUUAGUUAGUUGGUGAGGUAACGGCUCACCAAGACGAUGAUACGUAGCCGACCUGAGAGGGUGAUCGGCCACAUUGGGACUGAGACACGGCCCAAACUCCUACGGGAGGCAGCAGUAGGGAAUCUUCCGCAAUGGACGAAAGUCUGACGGAGCAACGCCGCGUGAGUGAAGAAAAGGUUUUCGGAUCGUAAAACUCUGUUGUCAGAGAAGAACAAGUUGGAGAGUAACUGCUCCAGCCUUGACGGUAUCUGACCAGAAAGCCACGGCUAACUACGUGCCAGCAGCCGC
rnacentral:rRNA from 1 species